GAUGAACGCUGGCGGUAUGCUUAACACAUGCAAGUCGAACGGACUCUUCGGAGUUAGUGGCGGACGGGUGAGUAAUGCGUGAGAAUCUGGCUUUGGGUUCGGGACAACCACUGGAAACGGUGGCUAAUACCGGAUGUGCCGAGAGGUAAAAGAGAAAUUGCCUGAAGAUGAGCUCGCGUCUGAUUAGCUAGUUGGUGAGGUAAAGGCUCACCAAGGCAGCGAUCAGUAGCUGGUCUGAGAGGAUGACCAGCCACACUGGGACUGAGACACGGCCCAGACUCCUACGGGAGGCAGCAGUGGGGAAUUUUCCGCAAUGGGCGAAAGCCUGACGGAGCAAUACCGCGUGAGGGAAGAAGGCUCUUGGGUUGUAAACCUCUUUUCUUAGGGAAGAACAAAAUGACGGUACCUAAGGAAUCAGCAUCGGCUAACUCCGUG
rnacentral:rRNA from 1 species